GCCAGCACGCUGCACGACACGUUAGUCGUUACACUGUCACAGCAAAAGCUGUUUCGUUGGGUUACUUCGCUUAUUGUGAAAGCUUCCGACGUCCUUCUCCUCCUUAUCCGGAUUUUUCGUCGGACUAGGUAGUGCUUAACAAAGAAAUUGAAUCUUUCACCGAUUCAUGUUGCAGUGUUUGUUAGCCUAAUCUUAUAGUUGUGCUCUAAAGGAGGGUCUCUGAUAUCUUCUCGCAAUUAAGUUAUGUAACAAUAGGACUCAUUUUUCCUACCCCUUUUCCUCUCCCUGUGAUCCUAUUGUUCCACGAGCGUUUGAACGGAAGAUAUCGAUUCCGAAGUGGCGUAGUGAACACCCACCUCGAUGAACACUCAGCUUUAAAUCUACACCUCGACGAGUGUGAAGUUCAGCUGAACAGGAUAUUCCGGAGGGAGGGGACGCAGCAACUUUUUAAUUGUUAAUGUGAUGAAUCGAGAGGCUCGUCAGGCCGAGGACUCGAAGUGUAAUACAAAGCGGAACUGAGAAGUCACCCUUUGUGUAUCGAUGCUGAAGAAAUAAUCUAGUUUUUCAUUUCUCUUGUUGGAUACACAAUAUCAGGUGAUUCAUUAUUUAUUUGUGUUGCUUAUUGUGUAAGCCGUAUUUGUUGACUUAGCAUAUUUUCAUAACUUUUUAAUACCAGUAAGUUUGGGAUCUAUCGAUAUAAAUGGUGGUUAGAACUAAGUGAAAUAUAGCGAGCCAAUCUGUGCAAACUUUUGCGUCAAUAUCAUGAAAGAAAAUUUAAGGAAGAGCGAAUGAAGUGAAAGACGGUAAAUACAAGGUAAACCAAACCACAUAACAAAAGACUUGGAAUAAGUGAGAAGAAAGGCACUUCAAGCUGCAGAGGCACCAAGAGCCAAGGGUUUUCGCUCGAUCAAUUUGGAGGUGGAUGGCGGCAACUCCUCGGCGUUCACCCUUGAUAUUUGGAACAAUAUCGUCUUGAAAAUUCACGGAUAAUCGAGAAAAGGGCUGCUUAACCGCGAAAAUAAUAGACUCAUUGUCGCAGAUUACCGGGUAAGAAGACACAAUAUCGCAGAAUUGCUUCCAUUUAUUCUCCCGCUUUCAUCGGACAUUAAAUCUCAAGAACAUCGUUCUUGGUUUAUCGAAAGCCAGGCAGUUCGAGGACACGCGGCAAAGCGAGCGGAGCAGAUCAUCCAUCAGCUGUUCUCAAGAUGGUGUUCGGAGUGUUGGUCGAUGUUCUUCUCUUGGUGGUGCCGAUCUUCCUGUGUGUUUAUUACCUCAGGAAAAGCAGAAGGAAGAUAAAUAACUGACGAACUAGAUAAGACAUCGACCCGGAGAACGUACCCAAAAUGACAAGCAUUGAGAUAAUUUAUGGAAAGAGAAGAGCAACCCCUUAUUUAUAUUAGCUUUAAAAAAGGCUAAUGUUAUGUAGCUCUUUACUGAAAUGUAUUCUUUUCAUAAAUGUACAUUAUGCAUUAAGCAAUAAAUAAUUUUAAUGUG